rnacentral:rRNA from 1 species
CUGAGGUUACCGGGGGCGAGUUUGUGAGAGUUUUUAAGUGCUGGCGCUCUUCGGAGUGCAUGUGCACGGCUCUCCUUCUCGUCUUCGUUCCUUCUAUCAACCCCUGUGCACUAAAUUAGGAUUAGAGAGAAGCGCGACAGUUAAGGAUUAGCCUAGUAGUUGUGGGUCCAUCCCGCGUCGAAAGGUUAAUCUUGGCGCGUGGUACCUCGAACUCCUUAAUUAUUACAAACCACUAUAUAUGUCUUGUCAGAAUGUUUAGUCCCUCGUUGGACGCUAAAUAAAAUACAACUUUCAACAACGGAUCUCUUGGCUCUCGCAUCGAUGAAGAACGCAGCGAAAUGCGAUAAGUAAUGUGAAUUGCAGAAUUCAGUGAAUCAUCGAAUCUUUGAACGCACCUUGCGCCCUUUUUCUAAAGGGCACGCCUGUCUGAGUGUCAUGUUCAUCUCAAUCCAACAGUUUUGUUACUGUUUUGGAUUGGAAUUGGGAGUCUGCUGGCCUUUCCUGGGUCGGCUCUCCUUGAAUGCAUGAGUGAGCAUCUGGCUCGCGUUAUUGAUGUGAUAACUUCAUCAUUGGUAGCGCUUGCCUAAUGGGCUUGCUUUCGAACCGUCUUCUCAACGGAGACAAACAUUGACUUAUUUGACCUCA